rnacentral:tRNA from 2 species
UGCGGGGUGGAGCAGUCUGGUAGCUCGAUGGGCUCAUAACCCAUAGGUCGUAGGUUCAAAUCCUGCCCCCGCUACCA